rnacentral:lncRNA from 1 species
CCGUUUCUACACUGGACCCCAAGCCCACUUUCUAUACUGGUCCACUAAGCCAAGUUUCUACACUGGCCCCCAUGCGCAGUUUCCAUACUGGCCCACAAAGCCCAGCUCGCCUGGCCCCUAAGCCCAGUUUCUACACUGGCCCACAAAGCCCAACUCGUCUGGCCCAUUAAGCCCAGUUUCUACACUGACCCUCUAGCCCAGUUUUGUCUGGCACCCUAAACUAAAGUUUUUCGUUCUAUCGGC